UACGUAGGGGGCAAGCGUUGUCCGGAUUUAUUGGGCGUAAAGAGCGUGUAGGCGGCCAAGCAGGUCCGCUGUGAAAACUCGAGGCUCAACCUCGAGACGUCGGUGGAAACCGUUUGGCUAGAGUCCGGAAGAGGAGAGUGGAAUUCCCGGUGUAGCGGUGAAAUGCGCAGAUAUCGGGAAGAACACCCGUGGCGAAGGCGGCUCUCUGGGACGGUACUGACGCUGAGACGCGAAAGCGUUGGGAGCGAACAGG
rnacentral:rRNA from 1 species